rnacentral:pre_miRNA from 1 species
AGUGGGAUAGCUGGAUCAAAAGGUGAUUUCAUUCCCAGUUUUCAAAGGAAUCUCCAUACUGCUUUCCAUAAUGGCUGCACCAUUUUGAAGUCCCAACAGUAAU